UUAGUAAUCCAAUUGCGUUUCUAUACACUUGUUUGUGAUGGCUUCUGUGCAGUGUGCACACAGCUACGUCCAACUGCGUCGACUUGCCGCUUCAUGGCUGUUUUCUCUCCCGAAAACAACGCAUCAAAGUUUGCGUGACGUCCAGUUAAUCGUGUUAACUCGUGAAUUGUGAUCGCUUGCGUUACAGACUCGUUAUAACUGUAUGUAGGCCUACCUGGUCGCGCGCCACCUCUUUUUAAAGCAUUAGCUACACAACAUUUAUACAGAUAAAUCACAUCUUAUCUGUAUACCUAUUAGUGAACACGUUGACCGAGAGUGCUCAAUUGUUGUUUGCAUUCAUGAAUGUGUUCAGUAUUAGAGAACGUGUUUCUCGCAGCUGUCCCGCUGUGUUCUGCAAGGCAUAACAGUUUCCCCAAUAGUUUCGAGCUCCCAGUCCCGGGACAGUAACAACACUGACCCCACCCCUUUAAUUGGACCACUUUACGCACGUGCUUUGUUUUGGCGAUAAACAGUGCGGGAGACCCAAGUCAAGACCAUUGAACAAUUUCAUAAGCGUUGUGUGGCCUCUGCAUCAUUAUCAAAGUUGCAUAUAAAUAAUAAUUAACAGUUUGGACGGGAUGUUCAUUAGGCUACAUUCGUUCCUUCUCAGCAGGUCACCUUAUAAGGGUAGGCCUACUGCUAUAGUCUUUAUACAUGCUAAUGUGCACUUGUUGCAGAAGGCCCGAGCGUCCGGCCAGUGGCCCAUUCAGACAAGGUGGAAGAAAGGGGACAUCCCCCUCACUCCAUAACAUUACUGAGACAAUAGACGAGGAGGGAUUCGUGAACCCCCCAUCACUUUAUCUCUGAACCAUAAAAUCCCUGAAGCACUCCCACACAUACACACACGCGCGCCCACGCACACACAAACAUCAUUUGAAAAUUGUAUUGCGGGGAUAGCUGAUGGGAUGUGGUCAUUACUCGUGUCUAAUCUCCGACUCCGAAGUAUAAUCCCAAAAAUAAUUCUGUAAGUAAUUGGAAAAGAAACACUGGUUGUAAACUACUUUUAUCUAUUUAAUGAGCAGAGAGCUACAGUAGCUAUUGAAGGCUUUUAAUUUAAUGCAGCAAAACCUCUUCACAUAUAUAGGCUACAUUUUUAUGGGGCUCGGAAUCAAGGCCCCACCUUUAACAAUUGUGUGGUUGUAUCUUUGUGCGUGCUAGAGUUGUAACAUAUUAUUCAACAUUCAAGGACUUCUGCUUUAACCAACCUCAUGGAAUUUUCGUCUAAUUGCAAGCUAGUGAGCCCAUGUCCCCAUAGAAAUUGAGAUUUGAUCAACUACAGACGAGCAGGGGUGGCUGCUAAUUGUGGUCGUGUGUGAAAUGUGCACUUUUUGGUUAGCUGGUUAUUCCUUCUGUGUGAUGACAGAGUUACUUAACAAUCUCCCUGUGGUGGGAGAUAGCUCUCAUAAACUGGUCAAGUGGUUUGUCUGUUCUGUGUGUGUGUGUGUGUGUGUGUGUGUGUGUGUGUGUGUGUGUGUGUGUGUGUGUGUGUGUGUGUGUGUGUGUGUGUGUGUGUGUGUGUGUGUGUGUUUUCAGGGUCAUUAGAUAACUGUAAAGGAGGAAAUUAAAGGGCAGUGUUUGAAAGAGUUUGUAACAGCAUACACUUAACUUCUUCUUCUUCUUCUUCUUCUUCUUCUUCUUCUUCUUCUUCUUCUUCUUCUUCUUCUUCUUCUUCUUCUUCUUCUUCUUCUUCUUCUUCUUCUUCUUCUUCACUUUUCCUCCUCUAUUCUCUGCUCUUCUCCUCAUUUCUCAUAUCUCCCCGUUCCGCUCCUCUCUCACUUCCUCUCCUCACCUUCCUCUUCCUCUCCUCACCUUCCUCUUCCUCUCUUGUCCCGUUCUGAGACGUGGAUUGCUCAGGCCUCUGUUAUCACCUUCACUCCCACCAGACUGUAAUUACAGGCCUAGGAAACUCCCAGCCCACACACACAUACACACACACACACACACACGCACGCACGCACGCACGCACGCACGCACGCACGCACGCACACACGCACACACACACACACACACACACACACACACACACACACACACACACACACACACACACACACACACACACACACACACACACACACACACACACACACACACACACACACACACACACGCAUACAAAUUCAUACACAUACAAACAUUCAUAUGCAUACACUCACAUGAAGGUAAGCCCUCACACACACACACACACACAAACACACACACACACACACACACACACACACACACACACACACACACACACACACACACACACACACACACACACACACACACACACACACUCAAACAAGGGUAAGCCCACAAACACACACUCUCACAUGCACAAGCAAAUACACACACAAACAAGCCUGCACUUACAUACAUUUAAACACACAUGCACAUGUUAAAGCACUUCCACCAGAUAUACAAAAGAUACAGGUUGACCCAUUAACUUCCCCAGUCUCGGUUCUUGUAUGUUCUCCACACUAUAUGUGAUAGAUUUACUUGCGUGCCUCUUGCAUUACUUGCAGCUCCGCCGCCAUAACAGACACAUGUUCAGACGUUAACUACAGCGUGCUAAAGCAUGUUUCUACCCUUUUUGGUCUAUUUCCUGUUUUUUUUUGGCCAAAGCCUCUCUUCCCUGCAAUAUUCUCUGUCAUGUACAGAAUUUCAAUUUCCAAACAAUUUCUUGCUCCGAAAGCAGCAAGCCUUAUCGUUCCGAUUAUUUUCCUGGUUGGCGCGGGCCACAGCAGGGCUGCUCGGGGGUUGGCCUGACAUAUAAUGGGCACCACACAAAGACCCCGGGGAGAGACCCGGGUGUGUGUCCCACCUGUGAUGUGGUCAAAAGAUGCCUGCUAGGCAAUUAGAGAUAAUCUCAACCUUUUUUCUCCCGAUGCCAUAUCUAAUUACCGGGCUACCCUUGAGUAGUGAUUAGUCAAAUAAUAGCAUUGUUAUUUUGAGGGCACGCAUAUAAAAAAAUAUAGCUCACACAGAAAUAUACGGUUUAAUUAUAGAUGUUGUUUGUCAGUGUAAACACCAAACACGGGAGCAGGGCUGAUUGUGUCCGGUCUUAUGGGGUGAGUGGGCUCUUGUCCCCUGGGACAAGGUGGCAGGAAGUAAACAGGCAGUGUUGGAUAGAGCUGCUGCUGCUGGAGUGUUGUCGGUCUUGUGACAUAGGAGCCAUAUCCCCCCCCCCCCCCCCCCCCCGUAGCAGGGCUUAGCUGGGUCUUGUCUUUUACAGAUUUACUGGUUUUAAUUGGGGGGCCCAAGACCCAGCACAUCCGCUCUCUGAGUUUGUUAGCGUAAAGUUUGGUCCGUGCGAAUAGUGUGAAAAGACAAGAUACACUGAACUUUUAUUGUUCCUUUUGCUCAAAGUCUGGAUCAGAGAGAGAGAGAGAGGUAGAGAGCGAGUGAGAGAGAGAGAGAGAGAGAGAGAGAGAGAGAGAGAGGGAGAGGGAGAGGGAGAGGGAGAGGGAGAGAGAGAGAGAGAGAGAGAGAGAGAGAGAGAGAGAGAGAGAGAGAGAGAGAGAGAGAGAGAGAGAGAGAGAGAGAGAGAGCAAUAAGUAUUGACAGAGGAAGAGUGAGGGAGGGGUAGAGAACCAGAGGGUAGAAAUGACUGGUUGGACAGGAGUGGGUUAUUUACCCCGGCCUAUGCUAUGAUUACGUCAGGUAGCUCCACAAACACGCUGACUCAAGUGCUCGAUGGACUCCUUGCAACUGCACAGAUUUGACUCCCCUUUAACACUCCCCCCACCCAAGAAGGAAAUCACAACGUUAUCAAUUUUCAUUCCGACAGGUGCAAUUCUAGUUUUCCUAUCUUUUCUCCUUUUUUUCUAUGCCUGGCUGGUAGACUUUACUUGACAAACGUCCGGGCAAAUGAAGUAGAAGAUGUUAUACCCGAUGUUGCAGUAGUGCUGUCGCAAGCCGUGCCACAUCUGCUCCCCCCCCCAGACCCCCCAACCAGCACCAUCACCUCCACCACCGCCACUAUCCCCUCCACCACCGCCAACACCACCCACCUCCACCGCCACCAGCCGCCCAAUGACAAUGAGGACUAAUGACUUUGGCAGGCGGGUGAGAGCGCCUGAAGAUUACCCCCUGCCACAAUUCAAUUCAAUUCCAUUCAAACGAUUCAAUUCAGACGUAUGACGUUUGUGUGUUUGCAGCCACAAGCAUGGGGAAUAGAUACCCCAGUCCCGCUGUUCAAAGCUUGUGGGUGGGUGUUUUGUAUGUGUGUGUGUGUGUGUGUGUGUGUGUUGGUGUUUGCAUGUGCGUGUCUAUAUUUGUCUGCUGUUGAGUACAGGUGUCCCUAUGUACAUGUGUGUGUGUGUGUGUGUGUGUGUGGGAAUGCUAAUGUAUGUUGCUUGUGAGGUCUUUAUGUGUUUGUGAGGAGGAGUGAUGCACGCCAGAGCGGUGACGCGGUCUGGCCCUGUGAGUCUGGACAGCAGAACGUCUGAUAACACGUCUGCAUGGAUCACCUCAGACCGGUUAUCUGGCCUCGUUGGUCGGUUCUCACAGGUCGGUUGUCACCGAUUCCGUUUCCAUUGCGAGACCAUCCAACAUCUUAUGGUGGAUUUAUCCCGCUAAAAACUAUUUUGGAUGAUGGAGGACAAGAUAGGAGUUCUAGUGAAUACCGAUGAAAGAAACAGAAUUCGGGGGAUCGAUAGCAUGAAUGAAAACAAGAGUUGGUGAGGUGGGCCUCACAUCAGUGGGCCAGCCUUAUUCGCUAACGUAUUCUGUCAGCUGCCUUUGUGCUCAUCCAUCGAUUUGGUUGUUUGUUCAUCUCGUUUACUGGAAGGAGAUGAACGGCGGUGAGAGGUGUUGCCAUGUUCCAUCGGAUAACUCUAAAAGACACGCACACACACACACACACACACACACACACACACACACACACACACACACACACACACACACACACACACACACACACACACACACACACACACACACACACACACACAGACACACACACAGACACACGCACCAACA